AGAGUUUGAUCAUGGCUCAGAUUGAACGCUGGCGGCAGGCCUAACACAUGCAAGUCGAGCGGUAGCACAGAGAGCUUGCUCUCGGGUGACGAGCGGCGGACGGGUGAGUAAUGUCUGGGAAACUGCCUGAUGGAGGGGGAUAACUACUGGAAACGGUAGCUAAUACCGCAUAAUGUCGCAAGACCAAAGUGGGGGACCUUCGGGCCUCAUGCCAUCAGAUGUGCCCAGAUGGGAUUAGCUAGUAGGUGAGGUAACGGCUCACCUAGGCGACGAUCCCUAGCUGGUCUGAGAGGAUGACCAGCCACACUGGAACUGAGACACGGUCCAGACUCCUACGGGAGGCAGCAGUGGGGAAUAUUGCACAAUGGGCGCAAGCCUGAUGCAGCCAUGCCGCGUGUGUGAAGAAGGCCUUCGGGUUGUAAAGCACUUUCAGCGGGGAGGAAGGCGAUAAGGUUAAUAACCUUGUCGAUUGACGUUACCCGCAGAAGAAGCACCGGCUAACUCCGUGCCAGCAGCCGCGGUAAUACGGAGGGUGCAAGCGUUAAUCGGAAUUACUGGGCGUAAAGCGCACGCAGGCGGUCUGUCAAGUCGGAUGUGAAAUCCCCGGGCUCAACCUGGGAACUGCAUUCGAAACUGGCAGGCUAGAGUCUUGUAGAGGGGGGUAGAAUUCCAGGUGUAGCGGUGAAAUGCGUAGAGAUCUGGAGGAAUACCGGUGGCGAAGGCGGCCCCCUGGACAAAGACUGACGCUCAGGUGCGAAAGCGUGGGGAGCAAACAGGAUUAGAUACCCUGGUAGUCCACGCCGUAAACGAUGUCGAUUUGGAGGUUGUGCCCUUGAGGCGUGGCUUCCGGAGCUAACGCGUUAAAUCGACCGCCUGGGGAGUACGGCCGCAAGGUUAAAACUCAAAUGAAUUGACGGGGGCCCGCACAAGCGGUGGAGCAUGUGGUUUAAUUCGAUGCAACGCGAAGAACCUUACCUGGUCUUGACAUCCACAGAACUUNGGCCGGGAACUCAAAGGAGACUGCCAGUGAUAAACUGGAGGAAGGUGGGGAUGACGUCAAGUCAUCAUGGCCCUUACGACCAGGGCUACACACGUGCUACAAUGGCAUAUACAAAGAGAAGCGACCUCGCGAGAGCAAGCGGACCUCAUAAAGUAUGUCGUAGUCCGGAUUGGAGUCUGCAACUCGACUCCAUGAAGUCGGAAUCGCUAGUAAUCGUAGAUCAGAAUGCUACGGUGAAUACGUUCCCGGGCCUUGUACACACCGCCCGUCACACCAUGGGAGUGGGUUGCAAAAGAAGUAGGUAGCUUAACCUUCGGGAGGGCGCUUACCACUUUGUGAUUCAUGACUGGGGUGAAGUCGUAACAAGGUAACCGUAGGGGAACCUGCGGUUGGAUCACCU
rnacentral:rRNA from 1 species